rnacentral:lncRNA from 1 species
ACCCACGCGGCGCAGCUCCCAAAGUUGCAGACAGCCCGGCGAACCGCGCAAUGCGCUUCUUCUGCCUGCAGCAGAGAAAAGGAAAGAAAACUCCGCAGGGGCUCCGUUGGCUUCUCCACGAGUGACAACCAUGUUUUCCCAGAUAGAAGACCGGAGCCCUGCUCCUUUGCGAUCCGCCGAGGGCUGCAGAGAGCAUCCUCAUCCAUUUGGGCACCCCUGCCCAGGAAGAGCCCGGCCAUCCCUUUCCGGACUGGAUCCUUAAGAGGUGAAUUUUCUUCCGUGGAUUCCGAUUUGCUCCGUCUGACCAGCCUAGGCAAUCCAGCAUCGCGUGGUACCAGUGCCGCUGGGCACACUGGCUUCACGCCGGCUCCGCCUCACCAGCAAGCGCAUUCCCAGGUGGUCAGGCUCAGGAUGGACCAUGAGCUUUCAAAAAGGAAAAAGGUGGAAAUCCUCAACUAUGCUGCCAUCUGAAUAAGUGUUUCUUUGUAGAUGCACAGAGUCAAGGAAAAUUACAUCCCUGCAUUAUGUAAUGUACCAACAACGCACUUACCCACUGUUUUAAUCUAGGUUAUUCUUGAAAGCAGAGCCUGAGACAAAGGUAGACACAUUCUAUUUAUGAGUCUAACACCCAGGAGCAGGAAUGAGAGAUAGGGGAGUGAACUGGGGAAAAGGGAAACUAAGUCCGAGCAAAACCAGAUACUGCUCUUAUCAAGUGGUCCACCCCUAUUAAUGGCUACAUAAUGCAGAACUUUCUCAGGAUUCUUCUUAAACUUUAUCUCAGAACUGUCUGCCUCAGGGAGAAAGGAGAAGUAUUUCUCCAUCAGCAGCCACCUCCUGUGUGUUGAGGGCUGCUCCUUUGGGGCAUUAACCCACUGCCUCCACCACCCCAACCCUCUGGGCUGCAAAGAGCUAGCUGACAGUCCAGCUGGUACCUUAGCAUCACACAUUGCUGCAUCAGAGAGGUCUUAAGACAGGAAGCUAGAGUCUUGGUGCAUGCUCGAAGUGAGACGGUGUCAGCACAGAGCAGGGUAAAAUCUUCCCGUUAACUCUUCACCAGAGCUAUGACUGGAAUCAGAGGUUGAAAAGAUGUGAGACUGUACCCAAGAAGCAUCUUAUAAGCCUACGUAAUAUACUGUUAGACUCAUCGAAAUCUAUUUCCUCCCUUCUUUAUAAUCAAAACUUCAGUGUCCAGAAUAAAGUUGGCAGAAGGGUUAAAUUGGAAAGUUAAAUGUACUAGAAGGUGUACAUUUAUAAGUUUUGACCUUGAGUCGUGUUCAAGGAGAAAGUGACAUUGGAACUUGGAAAAUUUAAAAAUGAUUCUACUUGAAAAAUUUGACCAUUGCAUAGAAAUAUUAGCUAUCGUCUAAUCUUUUGUAAUCUUAGAAACAAUCGUGAAUUGUUUGGUGAAAAAUGAAAAAAUAACCAUUUCUUAUGUCUCCGUGACCUUUAUAGACCAAUGUCACCAACUUUUCCUAAGGUAAUUGUUUCCUACUGUCAAAUAGCUCUAGUGAUAUAAAUCUUAACAAUCAAUGAAGGGAAAACUGGUGGAAACAUAGGAGGAAAAAUACUGGGAUAAUUUUCAUCACAAAGUAUUGGCAUUAACAUUGGUUAGAAUAGGGGAGAAACUGCAUGACUUGACAACUGGACAUUCCUGUAUGUUGUAUGAGGCCCUGUCUUAACAGAAAUAGUGAUGUCAUCAUCAUCCUCUCUUAUUUGGUCUUGAAUUGCCACCAAUCGGAUAAAACCUUUGAAUUAUUUAACUCAAUAUAUGUUAAGUUUCUACUAUGUGCUGUGUAUUGGUACUAUAAAUAUGAAUAAGACAUAAGAUAUUACAUUCAAAAACAUCAGAAUACAUGUUCUUUUAAAGUAUACCCCAAAACAUUUACCAUGUGUUCUGGGGCGCAUGUUAGGCUGGAUCACAAAUCAAGUCUCAAGAAUUUCAAAAGAUUGAAAUCAUAUAGAGUAUGAAUUAAACCAGAAAUCAAGUACAUAAAGGUAACAAAAAAUUUCCAAAAUGCAUUAAUUUAAGGAACAUACACCUCAUGACCCAUGAGCCAAAAAAUAAAUCACGGCAAAAUUGCAAAAAUAUUUUGAAAUGAAUUUUAAAGAAAAUACUUAGCAUAUUAAAUACUUAGCAUAUUAAAGCUCUAAGUACAUAUGUUAGAAAUUUUACCGAAAGGUUGGCUAUCAGUGUUUCCAGAAGCCAGGGAAAAAGUUUAUACAAUUUGAUCGCUGAGGCAGGGAAACAAAGUGAGACCUCCGAUCGCCCUGCCUUUCUGAGGUGAGCACUCUGGAUCCCAUCGCAGGAGAUCAGAGUCUUGCUGAGUUGAGGAGAGGAAGAUUGGAGUUGAUACUGAGAUAGCUUGAAUUUUCAGGACAAAGUAUCAACAAGGAGGAAGGUAGACAAAAAAAUCCAGAAAUCUAUGUAGAGACCCCAUUGUGUACAUUGCGGAACACUAAGCCUAACAAUUCUCAAAAUUAGCGUGAGAUUGGGAAAUAUCUAAUUUCCAUCCAGCCACAGUGGAGAGUCCUGACUGAAAACCAGGCAUUCGCUAAAGAUCCCAGAAAGGUUGUGUGUUACAUACGUAGGGCUAAACUAUCCUGACUAAAAACUACACUACACUUGCUCCUCACCCCCACAAAAAGCUUAAAAACAAGCCUCAAUAGUAUAAAGCUGAUCUGUAAGUAACUAAACUACCUGCAGAACAAAGUCCAAAUUUAUUAGUUCCAGUACUCCAAAAAAAACACAUGUAAAAAAAAAAUAGAUUUACAAGACAUUUAUUUGGGGAAAAAAAGAAUGCCUGAGGGUUGAAAUGGAGAGGAAGCCAGAGAGACAGAGUCCUCAGAAUACAUAAAAUUUCUGGCCUCCAUGGAGGUGUGAUGGUUAAUUUUAUGCAUGUCAACUUCGCUGGGCCACAGGAUGCCCCAUAUAUGAUCGAACAUUAUUUCUGGUUGUGUUCAUGAAGCUUUUUCUGGAGGAAAUUCGCAUUUGAAUUGAUGGACUGAAUAAAGCAGAUUGCAGUCCCCAGUGUGGAUGGGCUUGAUCCAGUCUUCUAAGGACCCAAAUAAAAUAGGUGGAGGAAGCUUGAAUUUUCUGCCUGACUGUGGCGCUGGGACACCCAUCUUCUCCUGCCCUUGAACUGGGACUGACACCAUCAGUGCUCCUGGUUCUCAGACCUUCGGACAGCAGACUUGGGGCCUUCUCGGCCUCCAUUAUUGUGUAAGCCAAUUCCUUAUAAUAAAUAAGGGUUUAUUUAUUGAAAAAAAAAAAAAAAAAA